ACAGUACACUUGUCGGAAUAUCAAAUUUGUCACCUUGAAUAAUUGGGAUGACUUUCUUCGAUCGAAUCUAUAAUCUCAUCAUAUUAAUUUGGUGUUCAUUUCUUUGUUUAGGCUAAAACAUAAUUACUUUAAACUAGCCAACUCUAAAAAUUUUAAUAUUGACUCUCAAUUUGUCAAUUUAUACUAGAUUUUCUUCAACCGAUAAGAACAUACUUAUUGUUGAUUUUUC
rnacentral:lncRNA from 1 species